GACGAACGCUGGCGGCGUGCUUAACACAUGCGAGUCGAACGGAAAGGCCCUGCUUGCAGGGUACUCGAGUGGCGAACGGGUGAGUAACACGUGGGUGAUCUGCCCUGCACUUCGGGAUAAGCCUGGGAAACUGGGUCUAAUACCGGAUAGGAGCCAUUUUUAGUGUGAUGGUUGGAAAGUUUUUUUCGGUGUAGGAUGAGCUCGCGGCCUAUCAGCUUGUUGGUGGGGUAAUGGCCUACCAAGGCGGCGACGGGUAGCCGGCCUGAGAGGGUGGACGGCCACAUUGGGACUGAGAUACGGCCCAGACUCCUACGGGAGGCAGCAGUGGGGAAUAUUGCACAAUGGGCGCAAGCCUGAUGCAGCGACGCCGCGUGGGGGAUGACGGCCUUCGGGUUGUAAACUCCUUUCGCUAGGGACGAAGCUUUUUGUGACGGUACCUAGAUAAGAAGCACCGGCUAACUACGUG
rnacentral:rRNA from 1 species